rnacentral:tRNA from 1 species
GGCCUCGUAGCUCAGUUGGUUAGAGCUUUGGUUGUACUAACGUCCUCCCCUUGUUGGCGUGGGUUCGAAUUCCACCGAGGCCG